rnacentral:rRNA from 1 species
CUGGCUCAGGAUGAACGCUAGCGGGAGGCUUAACACAUGCAAGUCGAGGGGUAAGGUCCGCUUCGGCGGAUACACGACCGGCGCACGGGUGAGUAACGCGUAUGUAACCUACCCAUCAGCGGGGGAUAGCCCAGAGAAAUCUGGAUUAACCCCUCAUGAUAUCAUUUUGUGGCAUCACGUAAUGAUCAAAACUCAGGUGCUGAUGGAUGGGCAUGCGUGUCAUUAGCUAGUUGGUGAGGUAAGAGCUCACCAAGGUAACGAUGGCUAGGGGGUCUGAGAGGAUGGUCCCCCACACUGGUACUGAGACACGGACCAGACUCCUACGGGAGGCAGCAGUGAGGAAUAUUGCGCAAUGGGCGAAAGCCUGACGCAGCCAUCCCGCGUGCAGGAUUGACGGCCCUAAGGGUUGUAAACUGCUUUUCUGCAAGAAGAAGGAUAGCUACUUGUAGUUAUUUGCCGGUAUUGCAGGAAAAAGCAUCGGCUAACUCCGUGCCAGCAGCCGCGGUAAUACGGAGGAUGCGAGCGUUAUCCGGAAUCACUGGGUUUAAAGGGUGCGCAGGCGGAAUAAUAAGUCAGGGGUGAAAAUUCUCAGCUUAACUGAGGACUUGCCUUUGAUACUGUUAUUCUUGAGUGCAGUUGAAGUGGGCGGAAUAUAGCAUGUAGCGGUGAAAUGCAUAGAUAUGCUAUAGAACACCAAUUGCGAAGGCAGCUCACUAAACUGUAACUGACGCUGAGGCACGAAAGCUUGGAUAGCAAACAGGAUUAGAUACCCUGGUAGUCCAGGCUGUAAACGAUGAACACUCGCUGUUGGCGAUACAGAGUCAGUGGCAGAGCGAAAGUGUUAAGUGUUCCACCUGGGAAGUACGAUCGCAAGGUUGAAACUCAAAGGAAUUGACGGGGGCCCGCACAAGCGGAGGAGCAUGUGGUUUAAUUCGAUGAUACGCGAGGAACCUUACCUGGGCUUAAAUGCAAAACGCUUUAUGGUGAAAGCCAUAUUUCCUCGGACGUUUUGCAAGGUGCUGCAUGGUUGUCGUCAGCUCGUGCCGUGAGGUGUCGGGUUAAGUCCCAUAACGAGCGCAACCCCUACGUUUAGUUACCAGCAUUCCGGAUGGGGACUCUAGACGAACUGCCUACGCAAGUAGCGAGGAAGGUGGGGAUGACGUCAAAUCAGCAUGGCCCUUAUGUCCAGGGCUACACACGUGCUACAAUGGACGGUACAGAGGGCAGCGCCCGCGCGAGCGGUAGCUAAUCCCUAAAGCCGUUCUCAGUCCGGAUUGGAGUCUGCAACCCGACUUCAUGAAGCUGGAUUCGCUAGUAAUCGCACAUCAGCCAUGGUGCGGUGAAUACGUUCCCGGGCCUUGUACACACCGCCCGUCAAGCCAUGGAAGUUGGGGGUACCUGAAGUCGAUUGCCGUGGAGGCGUUGCCUAGGGUAAACCCAAUGACUGGGGCUAAGUCGUAACAAGGUA